rnacentral:rRNA from 1 species
UGUAUCGGAGAAGGUGAGAAUCCUGUGCCGUGGCGUGGAGCGGCCGCACGAUGCGUCCUUGUCGAGUCGGGUUGCUUGGGAUUGCAGCUUGAAGUGGGUGGUAAAUUCCAUCUAAAGCUAAAUACUGGCGAGAGACCGAUAGCGAACAAGUACCGUGAGGGAAAGAUGCAAAGAACUUUGAAAAGAGAGUCAAAGAGUGCUUGAAAUUGGCAGGAGGAAACCCGGUUGCGCCCCGCGUCGCCUUGCCGACUCAGC